GUGCCAGCCGCCGCGGUAAUACGUAGGCAGCAAACGUUGUUCGGAAUUACUGGGCGUAAAGAGUGUGUAGGCGGUUUUGUAAGUUUGGUGUGAAAUCUCCCGGCUUAACUGGGAGGGUGCGCCGAAAACUGCAAGGCUUGAGUGCUGGAGAGGAGAGCGGAAUUCCUGGUGUAGCGGUGAAAUGCGUAGAUAUCAGGAGGAACACCGGCGGUGUAGACGGCUCUCUGGACAGUUACUGACGCUGAGACACGAAAGCGUGGGGAGCAAACAGGAUUAGAAACCCCCGUAGUCC
rnacentral:rRNA from 1 species